rnacentral:lncRNA from 1 species
GGUGCCCAUGGAGCCCCGGGCCGGCGGGGCUGCGGAGCCAACCCUUCCCUCCUGCCGCUCUCUGCAGCUGGCAGAGGACAGCAGCAGCGUGGCCAAGCACCUGCACCGGGCCCUGCCCUACCUGCAGAGCCCACAGGAGCCCCUGCGAGAGGCGGCCGUCAGGUUCAUGGGGACAGCCGGGCGGUACCUGAGGGGGAGGAAGGAAGAGCUCCAGCUCAUCUCUGAGGCCCUUGAAGGCAUGGCAAAUGACAUCAGCGUCCCCGUCAGAAGCCUGGCAAUUCAAACAUUGUGCGUCCUCCAGGCAGUAGAGAGAGCUCGAUAUUCCAUCUUUGACAACCUGCAUGAUCAGUUCCGCAGGGCAUGGAAGACACGUCCUCGUCUGUUGGGGCUCGGCUGGCUGCGCUGCUGGAGCUCUGCACAGAACUGAUCCCAAUGGCUCUGUCUGCUGGGGCCACCUGAGCCAGCAGGAAUGUUUAAUUUCUUCAAGACUGUUCAUUCCUUCUUUUUGUUUUUCUUUAGCAUAUAAAUAUA